UGGAAAUGUCUGCUGCUCGUCCCCAA
rnacentral:piRNA from 1 species